rnacentral:rRNA from 1 species
UACGGAGGGGACUAGCGUUGUUCGGAAUUACUGGGCGUAAAGCGCACGUAGGCGGAUUUGUAAGUCAGGGGUGAAAUCCCGAGGCUCAACCUCGGAACUGCCUUUGAUACUGCAAAUCUCGAGUCCGGAAGAGGUGAGUGGAAUUCCUAGUGUAGAGGUGAAAUUCGUAGAUAUUAGGAAGAACACCAGUGGCGAAGGCGGCUCACUGGUCCGGUACUGACGCUGAGGUGCGAAAGCUGGGGGAGCAAACGGG